rnacentral:rRNA from 1 species
CCUAAAAACACUGCCAGUUUUUUCCGUUUAGGUCGGGCUUUGGGGGGGAGGGAUCGUUUAAUGGGCCAUUCGACAUUCAAAUAUAGCAGGCUGCUUGCAGCUCUGUGACAUUAUCAAAGUGUGAGGACCGGCCUUCCGGAACCCGCAGCCAGCGCAGUCUGGUCCAACGACUACAAGAUAUUGGCCAGAUUAAAGCCUCUGGUUAAGAUAUAGUCUCCCCCCGCAGAGCAAUCUGGAUGGGGUCAUGGGCAUUACAUCAGUUAUCGUUUAUUUGAUAGUACCUUACUACUUGGAUACCUGUGGUAAUUCUAGAGCUAAUACAUGCUAAAAACCUCGACUUCGGAAGGGGUGUAUUUAUUAGAUAAAAAACCAAUGCCCUUCGGGGCUCCUUGGUGAUUCAUAAUAACUUAACGAAUCGCAUGGCCUUGAGCCGGCGAUGGUUCAUUCAAAUUUCUGCCCUAUCAACUUUCGAUGGUAGUAUAGUGGACUACCAUGGUUUCUACGGGUAACGGGGAAUUAGGGUUCUAUUCCGGAGAGGGAGCCUGAGAAACGGCUACCACAUCCAAGGAAGGCAGCAGGCGCGCAAAUUACCCAAUCCCGACACGGGGAGGUAGUGACAAUAAAUACUGAUCCAGGGCUCUUUUGGGUCUUGGAAUUGGAAUGAGUACAAUUUAAAUCCCUUAACUUUGUCUUCGUAGGGGAUUUUGGAAGCAAGUCAGUCAUCUAAUGGCGACGCCCUCUCUCUCCGAAAGAUUGCUACGCGUAAGAUCCGGAGCUCGAUUAUAUUCGAGUCAAGAGACUAAACCAGGGUGGGUGGCCCCCGGUCACUUCUGAUAUAGCCCAACCCCCCGGCGCUGCGCCGGGGGUACAGGUGUAACGAGGAACAAUUGGAGGGCAAGUCUGGUGCCAGCAGCCGCGGUAAUUCCAGCUCCAAUAGCGUAUAUUAAAGUUGUUGCAGUUAAAAAGCUCGUAGUUGAAACUUGGGCCUGGCUGACCGGUCCGCCUCACCGCGUGCACUGGCUCGGCCGGGCCUUUCCUUCUGGGGAACCGCAUGGCCUUCAUUGGUCGUGUUGGGGAUCCAGGACUUUUACUUUGAAAAAAUUAGAGUGUUCAAAGCAGGCCUAUGCUCGAAUACAUUAGCAUGGAAUAAUAGAAUAGGACGUGUGGUUCUAUUUUGUUGGUUUCUAGGACCGCCGUAAUGAUUAAUAGGGAUAGUCGGGGGCAUCAGUAUUCAAUUGUCAGAGGUGAAAUUCUUGGAUUUAUUGAAGACUAACUACUGCGAAAGCAUUUGCCAAGGAUGUUUUCAUUAAUCAGUGAACGAAAGUUAGGGGAUCGAAGACGAUUGUAUUUGGUCGUCCAUAGUGAGUAGCAUCAUCUAGUUGGGGGUCACCUUCCCUGCGGGGGAAUGCCCCUGGCCACAUCACCAAACUGAUGGGGCUCUCUCGCCAUUUCCGGCGGGGUGAAACCCACAGCCAAGCUCUUCGGAGUGCAGUCUACAGACUGAAUGUUGAUGGGCAGGUCUCAAGGGACCCGUUUCUAAUAUAGCCGAGUCCCCCAGGAGUUUCCUUCUGGAGGUGUUUUACGCAGAUACCGUCGUAGUCUUAACCAUAAACUAUGCCGAC